GACAGAGGGUGCAAACGUUGCUCGGAAUUACUGGGCGUAAAGCGUGUGUAGGCGGCCAUAUAAGUCGGAUGUGAAAGCCCAGGGCUCAACCCUGGAAGUGCACUCGAUACUGUAUGGCUCGAGUACUGGAGAGGUUGGUGGAAUUCUCGGUGUAGAGGUGAAAUUCGUAGAUAUCGAGAGGAACACCGGUGGCGAAGGCGGCCAACUGGACAGAUACUGACGCUGAGACACGAAAGCGUGGGGAGCAAACGGG
rnacentral:rRNA from 1 species